CAGUGUCAGGCUGGGGCAGCUCGGCUGUGCCCCUUCAGGCCAGCACCGCCCCCUCAGGCAGGGCGGGAGCCAGAAGCAGACACAACAGCUAAUGAGCAGCGUGAAGAACAAUGUGGGGCGGGGCCUGAACAUCGCCCUGGUGAAUGGGGUCAAUGGGGAGCUCAUUGAUGCCAGGU